rnacentral:rRNA from 1 species
AUGGGAACGCGAAGAACCUUACCUACUCUUGACAUCCAGAGAACUUAGCAGAGAUGCUUUGGUGCCUUCGGGAACUCUGAGACAGGUGCUGCAUGGCUGUCGUCAGCUCGUGUUGUGAAAUGUUGGGUUAAGUCCCGCAACGAGCGCAACCCUUAUCCUUUGUUGCCAGCGGUUAGGCCGGGAACGUCAAAGGAGACUGCCAGUGAUAAACUGGAGGAAGGUGGGGAUGGACGUCAAGUCAUCAUGGCCCUUACGAGUAGGGCUACACACGUGCUACAAUGGCGCAUACAAAGAGAAGCGACCUCGCGAGAGCAAGCGGACCUCAUAAAGUGCGUCGUAGUCCGGAUUGGAGUCUGCAACUCGACUCCAUGAAGUCGGAAUC